AAGUCCCGCAAGGGAUGAGUAGAGUGGCAAACGGGUGAGUAACACGUGGGUGACCUGCCCUCGAGCGGGGGAUAACGUCCCGAAAGGGACGCUAAUACCGCAUAAUAUCCUGCCUUUGAAGAGGCGGUGAUCAAAGCUGGGGAUCGCAAGACCUAGCACUCGAAGAGGGGCCCGCGUCCGAUUAGCUAGUUGGUGGGGUAAUGGCCCACCAAGGCAACGAUCGGUAGCCGGCCUGAGAGGGCGGACGGCCACACUGGGACUGAGACACGGCCCAGACUCCUACGGGAGGCAGCAGUGGGGAAUUGUUCGCAAUGGGCGCAAGCCUGACGACGCAACGCCCCGUGGAGGAUGAAGAUCUUCGGG
rnacentral:rRNA from 1 species